GCGUAUACAAUCUACCUUUUACAGGGGGAUAGCCUUUAGAAAUGAAGAUUAAUAUCCCAUAGUAAGUUAUUGUUGCAUGAUGAUAACUUUAAAGUUUCGGCGGUAAAAGAUGAGUAUGCGUUCUAUUAGUUAGUUGGUAAGGUAACGGCUUACCAAGACUACGAUAGAUAGGGGCCCUGAGAGGGGGAUCCCCCACACUGGUACUGAGACACGGACCAGACUCCUACGGGAGGCAGCAGUGAGGAAUAUUGGACAAUGGGCGCGAGCCUGAUCCAGCCAUGCCGCGUGCAGGAAGACUGCCCUAUGGGUUGUAAACUGCUUUUAUACAGGAAGAAACCUUUUCACGUGUGAAAAGCUGACGGUACUGUAAGAAUAAGGAUCGGCUAACUCCGUGCCAGCAGCCGCGGUAAUACGGAGGAUCCAAGCGUUAUCCGGAAUCAUUGGGUUUAAAGGGUCCGUAGGUGGAUAAUUAAGUCAGGGGUGAAAGUUUGCAGCUCAACUGUAAAAUUGCCUUUGAUACUGGUUAUCUUGAAUUAUUGUGAAGUGGUUAGAAUAUGUAGUGUAGCGGUGAAAUGCAUAGAUAUUACAUAGAAUACCAAUUGCGAAGGCAGAUCACUAACAAUAUAUUGACACUGAUGGACGAAAGCGUGGGGAGCGAACAGGAUUAGAUACCCUGGUAGUCCACGCCGUAAACGAUGGAUACUAGCUGUUCGGUUUUCGGACUGAGUGG
rnacentral:rRNA from 1 species